rnacentral:rRNA from 1 species
CACGUAGGGUGCGAGCGUUGUCCGGAAUUAUUGGGCGUAAAGAGCUCGUAGGCGGUGUGUCGCGUCGGCCGUGAAAACCUGCAGCUUAACUGUGGGCUUGCGGUCGAUACGGGCAUCACUGGAGUUCGGCAGGGGAGACUGGAAUUCCUGGUGUAGCGGUGAAAUGCGCAGAUAUCAGGAGGAACACCGGUGGCGAAGGCGGGUCUCUGGGCCGAUACUGACGCUGGAGGUGCGAAAGCGUGGGGAGCGAACAGG